rnacentral:rRNA from 1 species
UGCGCGAUUGAAUGACCGAUGUCGGAUUACUAGUUGGCGGGGUAAAGGCCCACCAAGGSGACGAUCCGUAGCUGGUCUGAGAGGAUGAUCAGCCACACUGGAACUGAGACACGGUCCAGACUCCUACGGGAGGCAGCAGUGGGGAAUAUUGGACAAUGGGCGCAAGCCUGAUCCAGCCAUACCGCGUGGGUGAAGAAGGCCUUCGGGUUGUAAAGCCCUUUUGUUGGGAAAGAAAUCCAUCUGGCUAAUACCCGGGUGGGAUGACGGUACCCAAAGAAUAAGCACCGGCUAACUUCGUGCCAGCAGCCGCGGUAAUACGAAGGGUGCAAGCGUUACUCGGAAUUACUGGGCGUAAAGCGUGCGUAGGUGGUCGUUUAAGUCCGUUGUGAAAGCCCUGGGCUCAACCUGGGAACUGCAGUGGAUACUGGGCGACUAGAAUGUGGUAGAGGGUAGCGGAAUUCCUGGUGUAGCAGUGAAAUGCGUAGAGAUCAGGAGGAACAUCCAUGGCGAAGGCAGCUAYCUGGACCACAUUGACACUGAGGCACGAASCGUGGGGAGCAACAGGAUUAAUACCCUGGUACCACGCCCUAA